CAACUUUCAGCAGUGGAUGUCUAGGCUCGCACAUCGAUGAAGAACGCUGCGAACUGCGAUACGUAAUGCGAAUUGCAGGAUUCAUGAGUCAUCGAAAUUUUGAACGCAUAUUUGCACUUCCGGGUUAGUCCUGGAAGUAUGCCUGUAUCAGUGUCCGUA
rnacentral:rRNA from 1 species